GCCAGGUGUGGUGUUGUGCGCCUGUAAUCCCAGCUACUAGGGAGGCUGAGAUAGAAGAAUCACUUGAACCCAGGAGGUGGAGGUUGCAGUGAGCCAAUAUGGCACCACUGCACUCCCACCUGGGCAACAGAGCGAGACUCCAUCUCAA
rnacentral:SRP_RNA from 1 species